UCCCUGGUGGUCUAGUGGUUAGGAUUUGGCACUCUCACCGUGGCAGCCAGGGUUCGAUUCCCGGUCAGGGAA
rnacentral:tRNA from 1 species